ACUUCAGCCAACCGACCCUCUCUCUCAGUCUCUCGAACGUCUCUCCCUCCCGCCUCCCCGACCCUCUGUCUCGAGUCUCGGCGACGGCGAGCCACCAACUACACGCAGCAGCACCGACAGCAGCAGCGGACCUAUUCUCCUAGUCUUCUCCGGUUCUCUCCGACCAAACGCACCACGCAUCAGAGUCGACGGCCACGACGCUGACAGUACGCACCUCGGCCUCUCCCUCUUCUUUGGUUGUACGCUACAGCCCAGCAGCAUCACGCCGACGACAGUGCAGCUCAGCCAAGCAGUUAAGCUUUUGACUUGUAUUGAGCAAGGGGAAUGGCUUUUGAAUCUGCUGAUUUAGAAGAAUGUUACGUUCCUCCACCAGAAUUUCUGGAAGAUGUUAAGGAUCCACUUGUGGAUCUCAGCGUGACUGAUUCCACUGAGCUUUGGCUCAUUCAAUGGCCUAAGAAUAAUGACCCUGAUUUUGAUGGACAGGAACUGACACUCAAGCUUAACCAUGAUGGGAACCUGUCUAGCUUCAAGGGUGCAUCUGGCAAAGAAUAUGAUAUGGUUAGUUUUGCUUCUCAAGAAGCAAAUGCAACCGUUUUUUUAUCUUCUUCAUCAGGCACAAAAAUUGCUGGGAAGAUUUCACGACGAGUAUCCCUCGUACAUUACCCAGAGCCUCAUGAAUUGAAACAAGCUAGUUCCAGCAAACAUCUGUAUCACAAGUCCUCUAGCAUUUCAAUGACCAAUUCUUCCCAUCAUGUUGGAACACCUGCACAAAGCAGUCGGCCAAGAAACACUGGAGCUGCAAGUGGACGUACAACCUCCAGUCGUAGUAGCAGACAGAAAAGUUCUUUAUCAGAUGUUGGAGAUCAGCCAUCACAAACUCCAAAGAGAAGGCAUGCGCCCAAAUCCACUACAUCUAUUGACCAGUCUGCUCAAAACUCAGGUCGAGGUCAUAGCGCUAUUACUCAUUCGGGGUCAUCACAGCGUUCUCAUCAAGGGAAAUCAAAUAAGAGAAAACAAAAUGAGGAUUAAGGUCCUAAGGUGUCUUCCCUACUUGUUCUUGCAUACUAUUUUUUUGGCUAGCUGCUGAAGGGCUUAGGUGACUUGGGUGUGGAAACAUGGUGGAAAAAUCGACAAAAUGACAAAAAUUGGUGGAAAACAGUGUUUCGGAGCAUUUCCUGUGACUGCAGGAAGUGUCUUGCGACCGCAACUCCAGAGAAGUUUUUGCAUUUCUAGAGCAUUCCUGCGACCGCAGGAAUGACAUCCUGCAACCGCAGGAUAUGUCUACAAAUGAGAAAAACGCAGAUUUUUAAUUAAGGGUGUUUUAGUCAUUUCAUGUUUAACAAAACAGUAAUUAAGUUUAAAUGACGAUAAAUGAGAGGGAAGGAUGCAUUUUUUGAUAUCUGGUCUGGGAGAGGAGGCUUAGGAGGUUUUGGAUGAAGAUUGGAUUGAUCAUCUAGAGUUUUUUUCUUUUCUUUUUCUUUUAGUUUAUGUUAAUUUCAUGUUUACGGAUUUCAUAAUGAUAAACAUGAACUAAAUUCUAUUUAGGGUUUUUAAUUGAAUCUCUUGAAUCUUUAUUAUAAAUUAAUGCAAGUUUUUAAUUUAUUCUUCA